AUUGAACGCUGGCGGAAUGCUUUACACAUGCAAGUCGAACGGCAGCACGGACUUCGGUCUGGUGGCGGGUGGCGAACGGGUGAGUAAUGUAUCGGAACGUGCCCAGUCGUGGGGGAUAACGUAGUGAAAAUUACGCUAAUACCGCAUACGAUCUAUGGAUGAAAGCGGGGGAUCGAAAGACUUCGAGCGAUUGGAGCGGCCGACAUCAGAUUAGGUAGUUGGUGGGGUAAAGGCCCACCAAGCCAACGAUCCGUAGCUGGUCUGAGAGGACGACGUGCCACACUGGAACUGAGACACGGUCCAGACGCCUACAGGAGGCAGCAGUGGGGAAUUUUUGACAAUGGGCGAAAGCCUGAUCCAGCCAUUCCGAGUGCAGGAUGAAGGCCCUCGGGUUUUAAACUGCUUUUGUACAGAACGAAAAGGUUUCUACUAAUACUAAGAGCUCAUGACGGUACUGUAAGAAUAAGCACCGGCUAACUACGUGCCAGCCGCCGCAGUAA
rnacentral:rRNA from 1 species